AACCCAAGGUUGGGGUGCAUCUGUUCAAAGUGAGCUUUCUGGGCCGCUUCCAUCCAUGGCUGUCAAAGCUCUGUUUUUUCUUCCUUCACCUUGUCUUCAUAUUCCCAGUUUCCAGUGUUAAAGGGUGUUCCAUGAGGUUUUGGAGAUGUGCUUUGUGGUUUGACUGGCAGGGUGGGGCCUUAUCAAGAGGGAAAUAACAACACUGAGGGAAACAGCAGCACAGGGAAUAACGGGCUUCUUUCAGGUCUGGGUCAUGCAAAGCAUUAAUGAUAUUUUCUGCACCCCUGAAGUGGAAGGCAGCUGAGGGUCUGCAGGAGACUGAACUGAAGUGGGUCUUGCUUUUGGAAGUAACAGGAGGAGACUUGCUGGUGAGGCCCCACAAACUUCAGCUGGAAGGGAGGAAAAGUCCAUUUAUUUCCACAGACACUGCAAAGUGAAGCGUGAAGAAUUUUGAGAGCUGAACAUGCUGAUCCUGCUGUCUUUAUAGCCUUAAAAGUGGGUGAAGAAUUAAAAUAAAUAGAAAGAGGAGUGGUUUCUGUAGUGGCUUCUGGUUCUGAGGAUUUGUUUCCUUUCCCAGUCUGCUUUAAAAACAUUUCCUUUUUCAUAAAAACAGUGAAUUACUCCAUGGACAUUUAUGUGAA